ensembl:lncRNA
CCAGGUGUGACAAUGUGCGACGCCGCAUCACAGCAUGACCUCAGAGCUCAAACAGAAGUCCAGAUAAGGAUGUGGCAGCUUGAAUCCCCCUGUGUGUUUCCCAGAGUUCAGUUCCCAGACUGAAAAACCUCUGAGUCAAUGCCUGAGAAUGCAGAGCGGGCAUUGAAAACUACUGCAGUCUGCACAAAAUACCCUCUGUGUGACGAUACAGGCAGAUAAUAUCAACAAAAACAGUUUGAACCAUUCUCGCUGGUUUCGAGAUACAGCACGUACUUUUAAGGGAAUGUACUGGGGAAAACACAAGAUGUGACAUGCUUGAAAGUCAAUGGGAUCCUUUUUUUUCCGGACUGCGUAUAUGGACAAAAACUGUUUAAACACCGUAGAGAAUAUCUUCUUUUGUGUUCUACAGAAGAAACAAAGUCAUGCAGGUUUGAAAUCACAUGGGGGUGAGUAAAUGAUGACAGUAUUUAUUUUUGGGUGAGCUGUCCCUUUAAAUAGAACACAGAUGGAAGUUGAUUGUUUUGUGAGUUUGUGAGCUAAUUAAGUACUAAGAGUUUAUUUUUUUUAUUUGUAUUUUUUUAGGACAUAAAUGGUUUUGGACAUGUACUAUGGUAAAACGCCUGAAACUUUGACACCAUGUCAAGAAGACUAAUGAACUGUGUAGUAUCUCUUUAUGCGUAACGAUGGGUGUCCAUCAAAUUAACGCAAGACUUAACUCCUCUGAACAAAGUACAUCCCUGUCUUUUAAGACAGAAACAGACAACAAGCCCUCACCACCUCCGAGAACGCAGGGUAUGAUGCACUCUAAAAAACGCUGGGUUGUUUUUUUCAACCCAACUGCUGGGUUGAGGCCGUUGGAUAGGACUUUGGGAUGUUUUAACCCAAGUUUGGGUUGAAAAUAAGGUUUAAAAAAAAAAAGUUUAACCCAGCGGGUCUGGGUUGAGGACGCGGACGUGAAGGAGAGCACGCACGUCACGUCAAGAUCGUACGUCUCCAGUGCGAGCAGCCGCCAUUUUCUCAGCGUGAUAGAAGCGAGAAGCGAGUGAAAGACUAUGGUAAGUAAAUAUUUAAAAUGUAAAGUUAUCUUUUAUUGUUUACCAGGUUGUAUGAAAGGCGGAAUGUUUUAUGAAAGGCGGAAACAAAGGAGCUUAACGUUAUAUAUAUAUAUAUAUAUUUAAAAAAAAACGGACGCGGUUUUCGCCUCAGACACGGAGGUCUUAACUGCCUCAUGUAACGGUACUGAACGGAGGAUGUACUUUUAAUAUAACGUCUGUGAAUGUAUUUUGUCAUAUUUACAUAAGAUUUAACAUUAUCUGUACUUUUUGAGGCGUUAACAGACGGUUAUGGUCACGGUUACGCUCAUGUGAAUUUGUCUUUUUUUUUCGCGGUUAAACUGAAUGUAUGUUUGUCUCCUAAAGGAAACGGCAUUGUGUAGUAAAGACUAGCAUAAUUAUUUUGAGGCUGUUGAAGUGGUAACUGUUAAAAGUAUGUUUUACAUGUAAUAUUUCAGACUUGUCAAGCUUGUGUCUUCAUUGUCCUCGCGCUGAGAGUUAAAGACACAGAAGCUGUUUGUGUGAGGAGUCACAGACCUGUGUGAGGAUGAGGAGGAGGUGUUUUUCUGAAGAGAGGGACAGACGGUUUAAGGAGAGUAAACUUCAGAAUAACAUCAAGUUAUCUUUAUUUUUACUAAGACUAAAAUAAUGUUGUUGUUUUUUUUAGAUGUUGCAAUCCAGAGACAAGAUAACUUCAUUCUUUUGAGACUGAUGUAAGUUAAGUUAUUAUUACUUUUUUUUUUUAGAAAAUUAAUGUUUAUGUUGUGUCCUGCCUGUUAACU